GCUGGAGAGAUUCAGCUUUCUCGUAAGAGACCUGCACACAGGUGCUGCAUGGCUGUCGUCAGCUCGUGUCGUGAGAUGUUCGGUUAAGUCCGGCAACGAGCGCAACCCACGUCCCUAGUUGCCAGCAUUCAGUUGGGCACUCUAUGGAAACUGCCGAUGAUAAGUCGGAGGAAGGUGUGGAUGACGUCAAGUCCUCAUGGCCCUUACGGGUUGGGCUACACACGUGCUACAAUGGUGGUGACAGUGGGUUAAUCCCCAAAAGCCAUCUCAGUUCGGAUUGUCCUCUGCAACUCGAGGGCAUGAAGUUGGAAUCGCUAGUAAUCGCGGAACAGCAUGCCGCGGUGAAUACGUUCCCGGGUCUUGUACACACCG
rnacentral:rRNA from 1 species